ensembl:lncRNA
UGGAUUUACUCAUUGUUUUAUUACAAUUUGAUGAACUCCCGAAACAAACGAAGAUUAAGGAUUUUUUGGAUAUCAGAACUAAAAUUGUUGAACGCCGAUCCUACAUAGCUAUGGUGAGUUCUGUUCCAUUAUAAAUAACUAGCGUUAAGUGUUGUUAGGUUACUGAGUAAGAACGUAAUUACUGUUUUGUAUUAAACAAGGACUGUUUACAAUAUUCUAUUAACAUUCAAGGAUGACUGUGUGGCAGCAGUUCCACGCCAGGUAUGUGAAUUACAUGUUGAUCUCGUAAUUGCUGCAAUGUUUACUUGGUUUCACCAUAUUUACCUGUUCACCAACUUUUAUGUUUAUUUUUAGCUCUGCACAUGACGGUAAGAAUGAAUAUUUUGGUGGACACUGCGAUUUGAGUUCUGACUGUAAAAUAACCAGAUAUUUAUGACUGAAUAAUUAACUGUCUGUAUUUACAUUCAGAACAUUUGGAGAUCAAGCGGCUGACUGAAGAGAAGGUCGAGCUGAGGGCACAGCUGUCUCUACAAUCAGCUUCUAAAAAUGUCUGACUGAAAAGAAUGUCAAGCUGAGGGCACAGCUGCCUCUACAAUCAGGAGCCAUAAGGAAAAAUCUUUCCAACCGGGAUGCCACUGAUGAGGCUGUCCAGAUGAAUGACAUCUCCAGCACAACCAAUAUUGCUGCUAAGCUGUAGUUCUGUAGCCUAUUUCUUAUUUAUUUCUACUGCUGCUAUGUACAGUGUUAUAUAUGAUUGCAUUAUCCUCAAUAUAUUUAUAGCUCUCUGUGAAUGUUCUUAAUUCUGACUGUAGUUGUAGUGUUAUGCCACCAUUCAUAAGCUUAUUGUACUGAUGUAUGUUUGAUAUUCAAUAACUAUUGAUUGCUGCUAGGUCAUACUUAUGUAUAUUACUGCCAUUCUAGCCCUUGUUUAUUUUGUAUUGUAUUAUGUUUAUUUUGUACUUUCACAUUCAAAU